rnacentral:rRNA from 1 species
UUCUCAAGCGUGAGGUAAGGGCAAUUGGUGGAUGCCUUGGCAUACACAGGCGAUGAAGGACGUGGCACGCUGCGAUAAGCUGCGGUGAGGUGUGAGCAACCUUUGACCCGCAGAUUUCCGAAUGGGGAAACCCCACCUUUUAGGUGAUCACUUUGCUGAAUUCAUAGGCUUAGUGAGGCGAACCCGGGGAACUGAAACAUCUCAGUACCCGGAGGAAAAGACAUCAACCGAGAUUCCGUUAGUAGUGGCGAGCGAAAGCGGACCAGGCCAGUGCCUGGUUGUUAGUUAGCAGAAGCUUCUGGGAAGGAGCGCCGGAGCGGGUGACAGCCCCGUAUGCGAAAACGAUCAAUCAGGACUUGAGUAGGGCGGGACACGUGUAAUCCUGUCUGAACAUCGGGGGACCACCCUCGAAGCCUAAAUACUCGUGUAUGACCGAUAGUGAACAAGUACCGUGAGGGAAAGGUGAAAAGCACCCCGAUGAGGGGAGUGAAACAGUACCUGAAACCGGUUGCCUACAAGCAGUGGGAGGAUCCUUGAGAUCUGACCGCGUACCUCUUGCAUAAUGGGUCAGUGACUUAAUGUAUCAAGCAAGCUUAAGCCGUUAGGUGUAGGCGCAGCGAAAGCGAGUCUGAAUAGGGCGACUGAGUUUGAUGCAUUAGACCCGAAACCCGGCGAUCUAUGCAUGACCAGAGUGAAGGUGCGGUAACACGCACUGGAGGCUCGAACCGAUUAGCGUUGAAAAGCUACCGGAUGAGUUGUGCUUAGGGGUGAAAGGCCAAUCAAGCCGGGAAAUAGCUGGUUCUCCGCGAAAACUAUUGAGGUAGUGCCUCGGAUGUUUUCCGAUGGGGGUAGAGCACUGGAUGGGCUAGGGGGCCGCGAGGUCUACCAAACCUAACCAAACUCCGAAUACCAUCGAGUAUAGUCCGGGAGACAGACGGCGGGUGCUAAGGUCCGUCGUCAAAAGGGAAACAGCCCUAACCUACAGCUAAGGUCCCCAAGUCAUAUCUAAGUGGGAAAGCAUGUGGGAACCCCAAAACAACCAGGAGGUUGGCUUAGAAGCAGCCAUCCUUUAAAGAAAGCGUAACAGCUCACUGGUCUAAUUAAGGGUUCCUGCGGCGAAGAUGUACCGGGGCUAAAGAUAUGCACCGAAGCUUAGGGUGUGCAAUUUAUUGCACGCGGUAGCGGAGCGUUCCGUACGCCGAUGAAGCCGAAGGGUAACCGACGGUGGAGGUAUCGGAAGUGAGAAUGCUGACAUGAGUAGCGAUAAAGAGGGUGAGAUGCCCUCUCGCCGAAAGCCCAAGGGUUCCUGCGCAAGGCUAAUCCGCGCAGGGUGAGUCGGCCCCUAAGACGAGCCCGAAGGGGGUAGUCGAUGGGAAACAGGUUAAUAUUCCUGUACCUGGUGGAGUGUGACGGAUUCCGUAAGUCGUCAGUCCUUAUUGGAUUGGUAUUGGCGGCGAAGGGGUCCCAGGAAAUAGCACCACCAUUAUAGACCGUACCCGAAACCGACACAGGUGGGCAGGUAGAGUAUACCAAGGCGCUUGAGAGAAGGGUGUUGAAGGAACUCGGCAAAUUGCCUCCGUACCUUCGGAAGAAGGAGGCCCCAUGUUAAGGCAACUUUUCAUGGGGGGCACAGGCCAGGGGGUAGCGACUGUUUAACAAAAACACAGGGCUCUGCUAAGUCGGCUUCAAGACGACGUAUAGGGUCUGACGCCUGCCCGGUGCCUGAAGGUUAAGAGGAGGAGUGCAAGCUCCGAAUUGAAGCCCAGGUAAACGGCGGCCGUAACUAUAACGGUCCUAAGGUAGCGAAAUUCCUUGUCGGGUAAGUUCCGACCUGCACGAAUGGCGUAACGACUUCCCCACUGUCUCCAACACCUGCUCAGCGAAAUUGAAUUCUCCGUGAAGAUGCGGAGUACCCGCGGUUAGACGGAAAGACCCCGUGCACCUUUACUGCAGCUUCAGAGUGGCUGUGGGAAACAACUGUGUAGAAUAGGUGGGAGGCUUUGAAGCAUCGGCGCCAGCUGGUGUGGAGCCACAAUGUGAAAUACCACCCUGUUGUUUUCUACAGUCUAACCUCGCACCGUUAUCCGGUGCAGGGACCCUCUGUGGUGGGUAGUUUGACUGGGGCGGUCGCCUCCUAAAGAGUAACGGAGGCGCGCGAUGGUGGGCUCAGGACGGUCGGAAACCGUCUGAUAGAGUGCAAUGGCAUAAGCCCGCCUGACUGCGAGACUGACAAGUCGAGCAGAGACGAAAGUCGGUCAUAGUGAUCCGGUGGUCCCUCGUGGAAGGGCCAUCGCUCAACGGAUAAAAGGUACGCCGGGGAUAACAGGCUGAUAACCCCCAAGAGCUCAUAUCGACGGGGUUGUUUGGCACCUCGAUGUCGGCUCAUCACAUCCUGGGGCUGGAGCAGGUCCCAAGGGUUUGGCUGUUCGCCAAUUAAAGUGGUACGUGAGCUGGGUUCAGAACGUCGCGAGACAGUUUGGUCCCUAUCUGCCGUGGGCGUCGAUAUUUGAGAGGAGUUGCCCCUAGUACGAGAGGACCGGGGUGAACAUGCCUCUGGUGGACCUGUCGUGGCGCCAGCCGCGCAGCAGGGUAGCUAUGCAUGGACGGGAUAACCGCUGAAAGCAUCUAAGCGGGAAGCCUCCCUCAAGAUAAGAUAUCUCAGAGCCGUCGAAGACCACGACGUUGAUAGGCCGGGUGUGGAAGCGCAGUAAUGCGUGGAGCUAACCGGUCCUAAUGCUCUAUUCGCGCUUGAU